UACGUAGGGGGCAAGCGUUGUCCGGAUUUAUUGGGCGUAAAGAGCGUGUAGGCGGCCAUUCAGGUCAGCUGUGAAAACUCGAGGCUCAACCUCGAGACGUCGGUUGAAACCGUUUGGCUAGAGUCCGGAAGAGGAGAGUGGAAUUCCCGGUGUAGCGGUGAAAUGCGCAGAUAUCGGGAAGAACACCCGUGGCGAAGGCGGCUCUCUGGGACGGUACUGACGCUAAGACGCGAAAGCGUGG
rnacentral:rRNA from 1 species